rnacentral:tRNA from 1 species
GGCCCCUUGGUCAAGCGGUUAAGACAUCGCCCUCUCACGGCGGAAUCACGAGUUCGAUUCUCGUAGGGGUCA